rnacentral:rRNA from 1 species
UACGGGGGGGGCAAGCGUUGUUCGGAAUUACUGGGCGUAAAGGGCUCGUAGGCGGCCAACUAAGUCGGAUGUGAAAUCCCCAGGCUCAACCUGGGAACUGCAUCCAAUACUGGAUGGCUUGAAUUCGGGAGAGGGAUGCAGAAUUCCAGGUGUAGCGGUGAAAUGCGUAGAUAUCUGGAGGAAUACCGGUGGCGAAGGCGGCAUCCUGGACCGACAUUGACGCUGAGGAGCGAAAGCCAGGGGAGCAAACGGG